GCGCGAAAACUUUACAAUGCGGGAAACCGUGAUAAGGGAACUCCGAGUGCCCGUAAAAUCGGGCUGUCCAUCGGUUUAAAUAACCGGUGAAGAAAGGGCCGGGCAAGACCGGUGCCAGCCGCCGCGGUAAUACCGGCGGCUCGAGUGGUGGCCACUAUUACUGGGCUUAAAGCGUUCGUAGCUGGUCUGUUAAGUCUCUGGGGAAAUCUACUGGCUUAACCAAUAGGCGUCUCAGGGAUACUGGCAGACUAGGGACCGGGAGAGGUGAGGGGGUACUCCAGGGGUAGGAGUGAAAUCCUGUAAUCCUUGGGGGACCACCUGUGGCGAAGGCGCCUCACCAGAACGGCUCCGACAGUGAGGGACGAAAGCUGGGGGAGCGAAACCGGAUUAGAUACCCGGGUAGUCCCAGCCGUAAACGAUGCUCGCUAGGUGUCAGGUGCGGUGCGACCGCAUCUGGUGCCGCAGUGAAAACUUGAAGCGAGUCACCUGGGAAGUACGGUCGCAAGGCUAGAAACUUAAAGGAAUUGGGCGGGGGAGCGACUAACGAACGGGGUGGAGCCGUGUCC
rnacentral:rRNA from 1 species